UCUCCAGCUGUUUUUGGACUGCAGCUCCCAUCAUCUCUGACCAUGGGUCCUACGAGCUAGGGAGGAUGAGAGUUGUAGUCCAAAAACAGCUGCAAA